rnacentral:misc_RNA from 1 species
AACGCACAUUGCGCCCCUCGGCAUUCCGGGGGGCACACCUGUCCGAGCGCCGUCGCAACACUGAGGCCCAGCCUUGCGUUGGCGGCUCCGGCUUUUUCCGCGUGGAAAGGCCGGCCGCCCAAACUUCGACGGCGCCGCACCGCGGCCGACGAUGCGCAAAAAGCAGACGUCUGGCGUAGCGGGUGGUCGGCGGCCUUGUCACAACAGAACAGCUUGGCCUCGGAUCAGGUGGGGAUACCCGCUGAACUUAA